rnacentral:rRNA from 1 species
UACGAAGGGUGCAAGCGUUACUCGGAAUUACUGGGCGUAAAGCGUGCGUAGGUGGUGAGUUAAGUCUGAUGUGAAAUCCCCGGGCUCAACCUGGGAAUGGCAUUGGAUACUGGCUCGCUAGAGUGCGGUAGAGGGUGGUGGAAUUCCCGGUGUAGCAGUGAAAUGCGUAGAGAUCGGGAGGAACAUCUGUGGCGAAGGCGGCCACCUGGACCAACACUGACACUCAAGCACGAAAGCGUGGGGAGCAAACAGG